rnacentral:rRNA from 1 species
ACAAGCAGCGGAGCAUGUGGUUUAAUUCGAAGCAACGACGAAGAACCUUACCAGAUCUUGACAUCCAAUUGACCAUCUUUUAAUCGAGAUUUUGCCUUCGGGUACAAUUGAGACAGGUGGUGCAUGGUUGUCGUCAGCUCGUGUCGUGAGAUGUUGGGUUAAGUCCCGCAACGAGCGCAACCCUUGUGUUUAGUUGCGAACAGGUCAAGCUGUGCACUCUAGACAGACUGCCGUGGACAACACGGAGGAAGGUGGGGAUGACGUCAAAUCAUCAUGCCCCUUAUGAUCUGGGCUACACACGUGCUACAAUGGCCGGUACAACGGGCAGCGAAGGAGCGAUCCGGAGCGAAUCCUAAAAAGCCGGUCCCAGUUCGGAUUGCAGGCUGAAACUCGCCUACAUGAAGUUGGAGUUGCUAGUAAUCGCGAAUCAGAAUGUCGCGGUGAAUGCGUUCCCGGGUCUU